AUGCAUUGACAAUCUUGGGAUAAGAUGUGCAUGGAAAAGUCACAAGGAGGAAUGGUAUUCCGAGACUUGGAAACUUUCAAUGAUGCGAUGCUAGCAAAACAAACAUGGUGGUUACUUGAGAAUCCUAAUAGCUUGUGUGCACGUGUGCUUAAAGCACGGUACUUCCCUAACGAGGAUUUUCUAACGGCGGGCUGCCCCGCUAGUGCCUCCAAGACAUGGAAAGCAAUUGUUAACAGGAGAGAGAUGUUGAAGAGGGGACUCAUCCGUCCGAUUGGUAAUGGAGAUACCACCGAAGUGUGGCAUGAUCAAUGGAUAGAUGGCACCAUAUCAAUGAAACCGAUGGGAGCUCUCAAGCCAAACUCAAUAUAA
rnacentral:rRNA from 1 species